GUAGCUGAGCGUAAAAAUAGACAUUUGAUAGAAAGAGCUCGCACAUUACUUAUUCAUAAUCAUGUUCCCCUCCGUUUUUGGGGUGAUGCUGUUCUUACUGCCUGCUAUUUAAUUAAUCGUAUGCCUUCCUCUGUUUUGCGGCAUAAGAGUCCUCAUUCUAUUCUUUAUCCAGAUCAAAAUCAAUUUCCUCUUCCUCCACGGGUGUUUGGGUGUACCAGUUUUGUUCAAAAUCUCACUCCCGGGAAAGACAAACUUCAACCAAAAUCCACCAAAUGUGUCUUCCUGGGGUACUCCCGUCUCCAAAAAGGUUACAAGUGCUAUGAUUCCAUUACAAACAGAUAUUUUAUUUCAGCAGAUGUAAC
rnacentral:misc_RNA from 1 species